CUGAGACCCCACUGGGGCAAAGAGCCGGGAGAGUGACAGGAACAGAGAAGUGGUUCUAAGGAGCACUCACAUCUGCUGCAGAGUAAGAAGUGGUCCCAGACCCACAGUCCCAUCCCCAUUGCUCACCUGGCUGGCAGUACCUAAGGGGAAUAAACACCACAUCAUCUAAGAAUCCUAUGGGGACAAAUUCUUCUACACCUUUAGGUCUGAGUUUUCAGAGAACUACAGCUCCCAUAAUCCCCAAGAAGAACUGGACCUGAGCUUCAACAGCGAUGCACUUUGGGAAGAGGAGGAAGUAUACAAAAAAAUUCCCUUGCUUAAGCAAGAGAAGUAAAGUUUGAAGAUACAAGACCUUGGAUGAAGCUCCUGUCAGCAGCUGAGUCUGAUCAAGCACUGUGUGCAUCUGACAGCCAGCUUGGCACCACCUCACCACAUGCAGCAACUGGGCUCCAAUGGAUUUCAUGUGCAAAUAGGCCUGAAAGGCAUAUUAAUUUUUAAUUAAAUG